GAUGAACGCUGGCGGCGUGCCUAAUACAUGCAAGUCGAGCGAACAGACGAGGAGCUUGCUCCUUUGACGUUAGCGGCGGACGGGUGAUUAACACGUGUGUAACCUACCUAUAAGACUGGGAUAACUUCGGGAAACCGGAGCUAAUACCGGAUAAUAUUUCGAACCGCAUGGUUCGAUAGUGAAAGAUGGCUUUGCUAUCACUUAUAGAUGUACCUGCGCCGUAUUAGCUAGUUGGUAAGGUAACGGCUUACCAAGGCAACGAUACGUAGCCGACCUGAGAGGGUGAUCGGCCACACUGGAACUGAGACACGGUCCAGACUCCUACGGGAGGCAGCAGUAGGGAAUCUUGCGCAAUGGGCGAAAGCCUGACGGAGCAACGCCGCGUGAGUGAUGAAGGUCUUCGGAUCGUAAAACUCUGUUAUUAGGGAAGAACAAACGUGUAAGUAACUGUGCACGUCUUGACGGUACCUAAUCAGAAAGCCACGGCUAACUACGUG
rnacentral:rRNA from 1 species